AUUGAACGCUGGCGGCAUGCCUUACACAUGCAAGUCGAACGGCAGCGCGGGAGCAAUCCUGGCGGCGAGUGGCGAACGGGUGAGUAAUAUAUCGGAACGUGCCCAGUAGUGGGGGAUAGCCCGGCGAAAGCCGGAUUAAUACCGCAUGAGACCUGAGGGUGAAAGCGGGGGAGUCGCAAGACCUCGCGCUAUUGGAGCGGCCGAUAUCAGAUUAGCUAGUUGGUGGGGUAAAGGCCUACCAAGGCAACGAUCUGUAGUUGGUCUGAGAGGACGAUCAGCCACACUGGAACUGAGACACGGUCCAGACUCCUACGGGAGGCAGCAGUAGGGAAUAUUGGACAAUGGGGGCGAACCCUGAUCCAGCCAUGCCGCGUGAGUGAAGAAGGCCCUCGGGUUGUAAAGCUCUUUUGUCCGGAAAGAAAAGCAAUCGGUUAAUACCCGGUUGUCCUGACGGUACCGGAAGAAUAAGCACCGGCUAACUUCGUGCCAGCAGCCGCGGU
rnacentral:rRNA from 1 species